rnacentral:rRNA from 1 species
UGCGCAGGCGGUUUUGUAAGACAGGCGUGAAAUCCCCGGGCUCAACCUGGGAAUGGCGUUUGUGACUGCAAGGCUAGAGUAUGGCAGAGGGGGGUAGAAUUCCACGUGUAGCAGUGAAAUGCGUAGAGAUGUGGAGGAAUACCGAUGGCGAAGGCAGCCCCCUGGGCCAAUACUGACGCUCAUGCACGAAAGCGUGGGGAGCAAACAGGAUUAGAUACCCUGGUAGUCCACGCCCUAAACGAUGUCAACUAGGUGUUCGGGUGGGUAAAACCAUUUAGUACCGGAGCUAACGCGUGAAGUUGACCGCCUGGGGAGUACGGCCGCAAGGUUAA